ensembl:snRNA U7 U7 small nuclear RNA
UAGUGUUAGGGCUCUUUUAGAAUUUGUCUAGUAGGUUUUCCAGUCCUCACUGGAAGACCCCU